rnacentral:rRNA from 1 species
AGCGAACGCUGGCGGCAGGCCUAAAACAUGCAAGUCGAACGAACCCCUCGGGGUUAGUGGCGGACGGGUGAGUAACACGUGGGAACGUGCCUUUAGGUUCGGAAUAACUCAGGGAAACUUGUGCUAAUACCGAAUGUGCCCUUCGGGGGAAAGAUUUAUCGCCUUUAGAGCGGCCCGCGUCUGAUUAGCUAGUUGGUGAGGGAAUGGCCCACCAAGGCAACGAUCAGUAGCAGGGUUGAGAGGAUGACCAGCCACAUUGGGACUGAGACACGGCCCAAAAUCCUACGGGAGGCAGCAGUGGGGAAUCUUGGGCAAUGGGCGAAAGCCUGACGCAGCCAUGCCGCGUGGAUGAUGAAGGUCUUAGGAUUGUAAAAUCCUUUCACCGGUGAAGAUAAUGACUGUAGCCGGAGAAGAAGCCCCGGCUAACUUCGUGCCAGCCGCCGCGGUAAUAC